UCAUGUUUAAUAUUGCGAUCGAGCAGUCAACACGUCUGUAGUGAAGUUAGUCGUUGUUAUUGCGCAGGCGUGUAAAGUCAUAGUUUUCCCGCUGUGACAAAUCGCUUAUAUCUUGGUUCAUAGUUGUUUGUGCCCCGUCAGUGUUGGGCAACAGGUGGAUAAGCUGGUGUACUCUAAUUUUUGGGUCAUUUUAUGAAAUUCUAGUCAAAAGCGAGGAGUAAUACGAGUACGAUGGGUCUCUGCUUUUCGUUCGACUGCGGCGAUUGCGACAUUUGCUGCAAUCCUUGUUGUAUGGCACUGAGCGCUUGCUGUCUGGUGCCCUGCUUGUGUCCCAACGCGUGCGGCCAACAGCAACAGCAGCCGCCGCAGACGGUGCACGUUCAUCACCCGCCGGUCAUCAUCGAGCAACAGCCCCCUCCGCCCGGCUACCCCUAUCCCCCGCCGCCCGGAGGAUACCCCGGCUAUCCCCCACAACAACCCGGAUACCCCGGAUACCCCGCAUACCCUCAGCCACGGUGAACGGAAUUUAAUUAAGGAUGGGCUGCAACAUAUCGGUGCGGCCCUGUUGUUGCUGCUGCAUCCCGUGCUUGUGCUGCGACUGUGGCGCCCCUCCGCCGCGCACCGUUGUACACCACGUGGUGCAAGCGCCCCCUCAACCUGCAAUCAUUGUCAACCAACCACCACCACCAUACAGAUAGUUACGUACAGUCAGGGAAUUCCGCUGUGUUCCACUUACGGAAAAAUUGUCUUUAAAUUUUUACGAAAUU